GAGUGAAUUUCAUGGAAUAAUACCACCCUACAAAUUGGAUUUUAUUUUGAAACGACCAUAUCAGAUUGGAAAACGACAGUUUGCACAAUUCCCAGCACGGAUGUUCCUCAAACGGCAAAUAAAUAAUGACGCGGACUACUCUGUUUAUUAAACGACUUGAGAACUGAGCAGGCUGACUGAUUUUGUGAAGACAUGAAAUCUCAAUGACAGACCGAUAAUCUUUGGAAAGCAGAUCAUUUUUCACUACCUAAAUCAGCUUUUAUUGUCUCUUUUAUCCAAACAAAUCUGAUAGUGCUACACAUCCAGAGCUGGUAUUCUCUGAAAGAUCCUUUCAUGGUAUACGGAAUAAAAUACACCCAGCUUCCAAAAACAUCAACUACUUCGACGAUCACAACAUCAACAAACAAAAGAAGCAGCGACGGCAGUAAGAUGAAUAACAACAAUCAUAUAUUUACUGUUUUGCUGACCUUGUUUGUGUUUAUCUUUAAUAAAGAUUGAAAUGUCA